rnacentral:tRNA from 1 species
GCCGAGGUAGCUCAGGUGGCUAGAGCAGGCGUUUCAUACGCGCCGGGUCGGGGGUUCAAGUCCCUCCCUCGGCACCA